UUGGGGGGGUGGUCCCUAUAAGAGGGUGUCACCUAUGGCAGGUACAGGCAUUUGGCUCUUCACAUGUCAUCACUCCAUGCAGCACACUCGGAACUCACAGCCAUCAUUCCUUACCGACCACAGUGCAUUCAAUACACCAUGCCUCAUGCCUGUGCCACCUGGGUGCGCUCUCCUGACAGGCCCUGCACCCCUCAUUCUCCAGCCCUAGUCCCCGGCAGUGACCACCCCAAUCCUGGGGUCCAUCCGGAGCUUCACUCUAGUGCCAGCGGCAAUCGGCAACCUGAUAACCAAUGUAAUGCAUGCCUGCUCCUGAUGAGCGACCAACAGUCAUGAAACGCGUAGAGCUCUAU